GCUGCAAUUCUGAUACAUUAAGCAACAUUUACUUCCUGGAGAAAGGCCAUAGCUCAGUGGCAGAGUGCCUACUUCCCACAGAGAAGGUCCGAGGUUGCCAACUUUGCAAAAGGCAUCUGUAUUCAAGAUCCAGCAGGACACGGAAUAAUGACAAAUGUCACAACUCCUGACGGAAAUGCAACCAGACAAUCCCAUCAGCUCUUGGCCAGAAUGGGCACUGCUUAUGGGUUUCAGGGCAGCCCCAAAGGAUCACCACCGUGACCCUGACAUUAAUUCCAUCGUCUGUUCCCUGUGCUUCUGCACAGAUUCUCUUUCAUAUGUCUGGCAGUUGUUUCUUUCUGGGAGAAGACAUAAAUGGCAUUGCCCAUACACUCGC